UUAACUAUUAUAUAGUACUCAGACAAUACUUUUAAUUCAGAGUUUUGGGUCCUCUGGCAAGCGCUCACCAGCGUGAGCCGGUGGCCAAGGCGGCUCGCCAAAGCAACAAAGGUAGAAUAACAUUGGGUUGGAGAGUCACCCGCGAGGGCGAUAUUCUCUGUAAUGAUCCUUCCGCAGGUUCACCUACGGAAA
rnacentral:misc_RNA from 1 species